UGUGAAAAGAUCCCGUUUGAAUAUGAC
rnacentral:rasiRNA from 1 species